CAAAGUGACAGGUGGUGCAUGGUUGUCGUCAGCUCGUGUCGUGAGAUGUUGGGUUAAGUCCCGCAACGAGCGCAACCCUUAAGCUUAGUUGCCAUCAUUAAGUUGGGCACUCUAAGUUGACUGCCGCCGACAAACCGGAGGAAGGUGGGGAUGACGUCAAAUCAUCAUGCCCCUUAUGAUUUGGGCUACACACGUGCUACAAUGGACAAUACAAAGGGCAGCUAAACCGCGAGGUCAAGCAAAUCCCAUAAAGUUGUUCUCAGUUCGGAUUGUAGUCUGCAACUCGACUACAUGAAGCUGGAAUCGCUAGUAAUCGUAGAUCAGCAUGCUACGGUGAAUACGUUCCCGGGUCUUGUACACACCGCCCGUCACACCACGAGAGUUUGUAACACCCGAAGCCGGUGGAGU
rnacentral:rRNA from 1 species